rnacentral:rRNA from 1 species
UAAGGAAUAUUGGUCAAUGGACGCAAGUCUGAACCAGCCAUGCCGCGUGAAGGAUGAAGGUCCUCUGGAUUGUAAACUUCUUUUAUCUGGGACGAAAACGGGAUUUUUAUCUCAAUUGACGGUACCAGAGGAAUAAGCACCGGCUAACUCCGUGCCAGCAGCCGCGGUAAUACGGAGGGUGCGAGCGUUAUCCGGAUUUACUGGGUUUAAAGGGUGCGUAGGUGUGCUUAUAAGUCAGUGGUGAAAUCUCCGAGCUUAACUUGGAAACUGCCGUUGNUACUAUAGGUCUUGAAUUAUCUGGAGGUAAGCGGAAUAUGUCAUGUAGCGGUGAAAUGCUUAGAUAUGACAUAGAACACCAAUUGCGAAGGCAGCUUACUACAUAUAAAUUGACGCUGAGGCACGAAAGCGUGGGGAUCAAACA